GUAGUGAGACGUAGUGAGACGUAGGUGUGUUUACUGUUGUAGUGAGAUGUAGGUGUGUUUACUGUUGUAGUGAGACGUAGUGAGACGUAGGUGUGUUUACUGUUGUAGUGAGAUGUAGUGAGACGUAGGUGUGUUUACUGUUGUAGUGAGACGUAGGUGUGUUUACUGUUGUAGUGAGACGUAGGUGUGUUUACUGUUGGUACAAGAUGUAGUGAGACGUAGGUGUGUUUACUGUUGUAGUGAGACGUAGGUGUGUUUACUGUUGUAGUGAGACGUAGGUGUGUUUACUGUUGUAGUGAGACGUAGGUGUGUUUACUGUUGUAGUGAGACGUAGGUGUGUUUACUGUUGGUACAAGAUGUAGUGAGACGUAGGUGUGUUUACUGUUGUAGUGAGACGUAGGUGUGUUUACUGUUGUAGUGAGACGUAGGUGUGUUUACUGUUGUAGUGAGA
ensembl:lncRNA